UUUGAUCCUGGCUCAGAUUGAACGCUGGCGGCAGGCCUAACACAUGCAAGUCGAGCGGUAGAGAGAAGCUUGCUUCUCUUGAGAGCGGCGGACGGGUGAGUAAUGCCUAGGAAUCUGCCUGAUAGUGGGGGAUAACGUCCGGAAACGGACGCUAAUACCGCAUACGUCCUACGGGAGAAAGUGGGGGCUCUUCGGACCUCACGCUAUCAGAUGAGCCUAGGUCGGAUUAGCUAGUUGGUGGGGUAAAGGCUCACCAAGGCGACGAUCCGUAACUGGUCUGAGAGGAUGAUCAGUCACACUGGAACUGAGACACGGUCCAGACUCCUACGGGAGGCAGCAGUGGGGAAUAUUGGACAAUGGGCGAAAGCCUGAUCCAGCCAUGCCGCGUGUGUGAAGAAGGUCUUCGGAUUGUAAAGCACUUUAAGUUGGGAGGAAGGGUCGUUACCUAAUACGUGACGAUUUUGACGUUACCGACAGAAUAAGCACCGGCUAACUCUGUG
rnacentral:rRNA from 1 species